GACGAACGCUGGCGGCGUGCCUAAUACAUGCAAGUUGAGCGCUGAAGGUUGGUACUUGUACCAACUGGAUGAGCAGCGAACGGGUGAGUAACGCGUGGGGAAUCUGCCUUUGAGCGGGGGACAACAUUUGGAAACGAAUGCUAAUACCGCAUAAAAACUUUAAACACAAGUUUUAAGUUUGAAAGAUGCAAUUGCAUCACUCAAAGAUGAUCCCGCGUUGUAUUAGCUAGUUGGUGAGGUAAAGGCUCACCAAGGCGAUGAUACAUAGCCGACCUGAGAGGGUGAUCGGCCACAUUGGGACUGAGACACGGCCCAAACUCCUACGGGAGGCAGCAGGAGGGAAUCUUCGGCAAUGGACGAAAGUCUGACCGAGCAACGCCGCGUGAGGGAAGAAGGGUGUCGGAUCGGAAAACUCUGUUGGUAGAGAAGAACGUUGGUGAGAGUGGAAAGCUCAUCAAGUGACGGUAACUACCCAGAAAGGGACGGCUAACUACGUG
rnacentral:rRNA from 1 species